rnacentral:rRNA from 1 species
GUUAUAUGGUCAAGUGAAGAAGCGCAUACGGUGGAUGCCUUGGCAGUCAGAGGCGAUGAAAGACGUGGUAGCCUGCGAUAAGCUUCGGGGAGUCGGCAAACAGACUUUGAUCCGGAGAUCUCUGAAUGGGGGAACCCAGCCAUCAUAAGAUGGUUAUCUUGUACUGAAUACAUAGGUGCAAGAGGCGAACCAGGGGAACUGAAACAUCUAAGUACCCUGAGGAAAAGAAAUCAACCGAGAUUCCCUUAGUAGUGGCGAGCGAACGGGGACUAGCCCUUAAGUGGCUUUGAGAUUAGCGGAACGCUCUGGAAAGUGCGGCCAUAGUGGGUGAUAGCCCUGUACGCGAAAAUCUCUUAGUCAUGAAAUCGAGUAGGACGGGGCACGAGAAACCUUGUCUGAAUAUGGGGGGACCAUCCUCCAAGGCUAAAUACUACUGACUGACCGAUAGUGAACUAGUACCGUGAGGGAAAGGCGAAAAGAACCCCGGAGAGGGGAGUGAAAUAGAUCCUGAAACCGUAUGCGUACAAGCAGUGGGAGCAGACUUUGUUCUGUGACUGCGUACCUUUUGUAUAAUGGGUCAGCGACUUAUUUUCAGUGGCAAGCUUAACCGAAUAGGGGAGGCGUAGCGAAAGCGAGUCUUAAUAGGGCGUCUAGUCGCUGGGAAUAGACCCGAAACCGGGCGAUCUAUCCAUGGGCAGGUUGAAGGUUAGGUAACACUGACUGGAGGACCGAACCGACUACCGUUGAAAAGUUAGCGGAUGACCUGUGGAUCGGAGUGAAAGGCUAAUCAAGCUCGGAGAUAGCUGGUUCUCCUCGAAAGCUAUUUAGGUAGCGCCUCAUGUAUCACUGUAGGGGGUAGAGCACUGUUUCGGCUAGGGGGUCAUCCCGACUUACCAAACCGAUGCAAAC